UUCAUCGUCAAUUUAUAUUCUCCCAAUCCCAUUCAUCUCAUCUUCAAUGUCACACCUUCAAUUUUCCAAGUAAUCAAUUAAAGUUUUUAUUGAUUUCUCUCUCUCGCGCGUUUCCAUUUCAAUCUCGGUAACAACAACAAAACACUCGAAUCAAAUCUCUACAUGAUCUCUCGCUCAUUCUCGAUCCUCAAACGCAUCGAUUCAGCAAUAUAAAGCAAAGAAGAAACGAACCCUAAACCCAUCAAAUCUCAUACCCCAUAUUUGAUAUUCACGGUACAUACAUGGUGAAAAAAUGAAGAUGCAACAACAACUUACAAACAAAAGAUAAAAACGAAUUCGAAAAGGGUCAGUAUUCUAUAGAUAUGGUGUAAUGAAGAAAGUUCAAGAUUCUGGCAUGUCGAUGACAGCAGAAAGCUGAAGAAAGGCAUUGAAGAGUUCUACAGCUAUUGUGUUACACCCUGGUCGAAAUACUAUAACCUUUGAUCUGCCACCUCAUAAACCAGGAUCAUAUGUUCUUGAGGUUCUUACUGGACAUAUUAGGUAGUUGAGGUUUAGAUCCCAUGGUGUUUCAAAAUUUGGUCCCGCAGAGAGGGAUGAUGUUAUGAGUUAUGAAAAGCCUGCUCAACCUAUUUUGAAGGUAACAUCUAUUUAGCACUAUAAAAAGGAAUGUGAUGAUUCAAUAGAAGAUAUGGAGUAUAUUCAUAUAAACAUAAUCCUCCCUUUGAUGUUUCCUAUUUAACUUUAAUUUU